rnacentral:lncRNA from 1 species
AAAUGUACCUGUAUCUAUUUAUAUUUAUAAUCUUUAGCAUCCCUGGCAUAUACAAUAAAACAAUGGUAAGAAAUUUAAACAUAUUAAUCGAGCUCCAGGAUAAAUACAAUUAAAUAAUGUAAUAAUAAAUAAAUAACAAUUUUUGGAUGAAUUAACCAAAAAAUAGCUACAGGCCUAUGGCCACAACCCACAGUCCUCUUAUCUUGGAAGAGGGCACUUCUGGAUGCCAUCUUACAGGCGGAGAUAGAGAACAAGGCCCGACAAGUGGCCAAGUUGAGAAAUUGCAGAUUCGUUUCAUUUCCGCAUAAAUUCGCAGCCAAACGAGGAAUCUGCUCUAUGACGGGGCAGAGAGUGGAAGAGUCAGGGAGGGAAAUGUCUGUGUUGUUGUCCAAUUCCAAUCGUAAAUUUGAAAUUUUUCAUAAAAAUGUCAUAACAGCAAUUCCACUGACAAGGGCAGAAGGCGAUGAGAGAAACAUAGAAUGGAAGAGGCAGAGUGAGUGAGAGUGAGAGAGAAGGCGUCAACGGGAAAGAGCAACAACAGGCGGCGGUCGAAAAUAAAGGACAAGAAAUGAGUUUUUGCAGUGUCGGCGUUUUUCAUCUCUCCAAUUUAUGGAUUUUUUGUGAUUUCUAUCGUGGCGACAAACCGAGAGAGGAAAGCGUGCAAUAAAAAAAGGAAAUACAAAUUUGUUGCGACUAAAUUUAGGCUAAUUUGUAUUAGGAAAAGCAAAUCGCAUCCCACUCAAGAGCAGAGGAAUAAUUUAAUGAACAAUAACAUUUGCCCAAACAGAGUAUAAAACACUUACGAAAGCUCCAGACACUGGCCACGCACUCAAAUCACACUCAAAGGCCACUCAAAGCAGAUAGUUUUGCUCAAGAAAUGCGACCGUUUUUGCCGGCGCUCGGCGCAUUCGCAAUUCGCAUUCUCACGUUAUAAACAUCAAAAAUAAGCAUCCAUUCGAGAGCGCAC